AUGGAGGCGGCGAGCCGCAGGAGGAUGGAAGUGCUGGAAGAGGAGUUCCACGCGGAGCUCGAGCGCGUUCGCGCCCGCUACGGCCAGGACACGCCGCCGUUUUCGACGGGAGAGGGGCGCGACGAGGGCGGAGCAGAGCCGUCGGACGACGACGACGACGACGACGACGGCAUUGCCAACUGCCGGCAGGGAUUCGAGAGCGACCUCGACGACCACCACCAUGGCAACAACAACGAGGAGGAGGAGGAGGAGGACGACGCCGAUCGGUACCACGGCGUCUCAGCCAUCGAGCUGGAGAGGAGGCUGCACGAGCUGCUCCACCAGAGGAACCAGGAGCGGAUCGAGGAGCUGGAGGCCGCGCUGCGGCGCGCCGAGAAGCGGCUCUUCGACAAGGAGAUGGAGGCGUCCCUCUGGAAGGACACCGCCAAAAUGGCCUUCCGCCACGACCACCACCACGACGACGACGACGAGUCGCCGUAA
rnacentral:rRNA from 1 species